GACGAACGCUGGCGGCGUGCUUAACACAUGCAAGUCGAACGGUGAAGGGAUCAGCUUGCUGGUUCUGGAUGAGUGGCGAACGGGUGAGUAACACGUGAGUAACCUGCCCCCUUCUUCUGGAUAACCGCAUGAAAGUGUGGCUAAUACGGGAUAUUCUGCGCCUGCUGCAUGGUGGGUGUGGGAAAGAUAUUGUUUCGGUGGGGGAUGGGCUCGCGGCCUAUCAGCUUGUUGGUGGGGUGAUGGCCUACCAAGGCGGUGACGGGUAGCCGGCCUGAGAGGGUGGACGGUCACACUGGGACUGAGACACGGCCCAGACUCCUACGGGAGGCAGCAGUGGGGAAUAUUGCACAAGGGGCGCAAGCCUGAUGCAGCGACGCCGCGUGAGGGAUGGAGGCCUUCGGGGUGUGAACCUCUUUCGCCAGUGAAGCAGGCCUGUCCCUUGUGGGUGGGUUGACGGUAGCUGGAGAAGAAGCGCCGGCUAACUACGUG
rnacentral:rRNA from 1 species